AGAUAGAGAGAGAGAGGGAGAGAGAGAGAGAGAGAGGGAGAGGGAGAUACGGGGUCUUUCAAGGGGAACUACAGCUCGUCCCUCGGUCUCUGAGCUUUAUAUCGGAUUUUUCUGUGUCCAGAGGAGCGCGGUGCUGAAAACUUGAGCGGAUUAGAAGGAUGAGGUAGGACUGUCGGGACCUCUGUUGGGACAGAGAACAUCAAAGUGCGACCGUGCAUGAGAGUGUGAGAGAGUUCCAGUACUUCUGAAGAAAGGGAGGGGUUCAACACCAGGUGUCCACCCCUCCAGGGUGAACUCGACUUGCUUGUUAUGAUGAGUCGCGAUGUGGCGUGGCUGUCCUGCGUACAGCUGCUGUGUGGCAUGUUGUCCAGCCUGUGGGCGUAUCCCUUCAGACCACCACUGGACCUGGAUGUCACUCCUAGGACCACUGUUUUCUCCAAAGGGCUGUGGGGGUGCAGGCGCUUCAGUGGAUCUACGUUGAACUACAGUACGCUCCUGCUGGAGGAAGAAGCUGGAGUGCUGUAUGUUGGAGCCAGAGGGGCUCUGUAUGCCCUGCAAGCUGCUAAUAUCUCCAGCUCCAGUCACACUAUCGACUGGGAGGCACCAGAAGACCAGAAGCAGCUCUGCUUAAACAAAGGGAAAGAUAACAAGACAGAGUGUUUCAAUCACAUCCGUUUCCUGCAGAGAUUCAACACCACCCACUUAUACACAUGCGGGACUCACGCAUUCAGCCCACUCUGUGCAUAUAUCGAUGAUCGGGAGUUUAAGAUUUCAUCUGUGUUUGAAGAGGGUCGGGAGCGGUGCCCAUAUGAUCCUGCGAAAGGAUACACUGGCCUGCUUGUUGAUGGGCAAAUGUACACAGCAUCUCAGUAUGAGUUCUGGAGCUCUCCAGACAUUCGCCGGAACUCGCCAAACCCCAUGCUGAGGACGGAGGAGGCCCCAACUCGCUGGCUUUACGAAGCUGAUUUUGUGGGCUCUGCGCUGGUGAAGGAGAGUGUGAACAGCUCUGUGGGAGACGACGAUAAGAUCUAUUUCUUCUUCACGGAGAAGAGCCAGGAGCACAGCCCGUACUUCAGUCAUAGCAGGGUGGCCCGCGUGGCCCGCGUCUGUAAGAGUGACAGAGGAGGUUACCUGACCCUGCAGAAGAAGUGGACGUCCUUCCUGAAGGCCCGGCUGGUGUGUUCUCUGCCUGACUACGAGUUCCACUUUAAUGUGUUGCGCAGUGUGUUUAUGCUGGAAGGUCUCAAGGUUCAGGACACUGUGCUCUACGGCAUCUUUGGGCUGGAGUGGAAAAGCGUGAAAGCUUCUGCCAUCUGCCGCUACUCCAUCAGCGAUAUCCAGCAGGCUUUUGACGGACCCUACAUGGAGAGUCAGGAGGACGCCACUGCCAAAUGGACAGAGUACACCGGGAAGGUGCCUGAGCCACGGCCCGGCUCGUGCAUCACAGACCGGCUCAGGUCCAGAGGCAUCAAUUUCUCCACUGACCUGCCUGAUGAUGUGCUGCACUUUGUCCGCCGUCACCCUCUUAUGGCCAGGCAGGUGCUCCCAGUGGGAGGACGCCCCCUACUGUUUAAGAGGUCCAUGGACUACACCAAGAUAGCUGUUCACAAAGUGACCGCUCUGGAUGGACAGACGUACCACAUGUUGUUCAUCGGAACAGAUGAGGGCUGGCUCCAGAGAGCAGUGGAGGUUAAAGGUCAGCUCCACAUCAUUGAAGAAUUGCAAUUGUUUGAGGAGCCGCAGCCUGUGGACAGUAUAGUCAUCUCUGAGAAACAGAUGAGUGUGUACGUGGGUACUCCUUCCACAGUCGUGCAGCUGCCCCUGUCCACGUGUCAUAAGUAUUCCUCCUGUUUUGACUGUGUGUUAGCACGGGACCCUUUCUGUGCCUGGGAUGGAGUGGAAUGUGUGGAGAUUACCUCACAAACUGACAGAUCCAAUCUGACUCAAGACAUCCUGAAUGGGAAUGAGGGCUGUGAGAACGCUGCAGCAGAUGACCUGGUGCUCCAUCGUGCACGCUCAGUGAUGGCAGGAGAUGAUGUGCUGCUGCAGUGCGAGCUCAGCUCCAAUCUGGCUGUCCCACAGUGGACACUACAUGGACAGGAGCUGCAAGGAUACGGGCUCAACUCCGGCUACCGCGUCGGCACCGACGGCCUGCUGGUCAUCGAGGCUCGACCGGAGCAAAGCGGCGACUACAGCUGCUUCGCAUUGGAGAACGGCAUCCGCGUUCCUGUGGUGAUCUACACUUUGACUGUGCGUCAUGACCUGCCUCCUGUACCACCAGUAGAGGUGACUCGCCCACCUCACAUAAGUGGUGCCACCCACCGUACCACUCAAACACACAACAAGAGCAAUCAGGACCUGACCCUGCACCCUGCUCCCGCACCGCAGCCUCCACAACUGGAGUUCCUGUCCUUGAGGAACAUGGAGGCCAUGUACCUUUCUCUGAUCACCAUUCUUGGCGGACUCUGCCUCGUCUUGACGGUGGUCCUGCUGUAUGUCGGGUUCUGUGUGCAGAGCAGAAGGGGGAAAUACUCUCUACGGGCUGCAGCUCAGGCUGAGAGGAAGAGAAGCAGCCACAUGGAGCUAAAGACCAUCUCAAGCCACUGCAAUGGCAAAACGGAUGCACAUGAAGGUCUGCUACAGAUCGUACCUGGAGAAGCACAGGCAUCUCCAAACAAAGACCUUCCUCCGGCACCCCCGCUGCCCCCACCUCCGCCAAACUCGGAAUUUGAAUACACCAAUGGCCUCUCAGCCACCUUGCCAAGCGUCCUACGCAAAAUGAAUGGCAACAGUUAUGUUUUGCUUAGGCAAAGUGAUGGGCACAGCACGUCUCCGCUGUAUUAUUCCUUCACUGAAGAGCUCAACCGCAUCCUGGAGAAGAGGAAACACACUCAGCUGUGUAGCAAACCUGAUGAGAGUUCAGUAUAAAGAAAGAGAACUUUUUUCAACAGAAAAACAAAAUUGCGCCUUCUGUGGUCAGGAGGUUUGAUUACAAGUAUCUGCAGAAAUGUCAAAGGGCAACAGGAUGCUAAGUAAAGCAUGUAUUCCAAGGGUCUUAUAUUCUUGCCCCAUAGCAUUUUCAAUCCUGGCCUAUUGUUGGUCGAAGCAGCCAAGCUCAGCAGCUUUCAAUGUUUGUGAAAACCAGGCACAGAACAAAAGUUGUGACUGACACAAUGGAUAAUCUACCUCGAAAGAACAUUUUAUGAAUUUUGGAUGUGUGACAUUUUGUCAAUAGGUUCUGAGGCUGGUGAGUCCAGAGCAACAGGACUGGAUCAUUGCUUUUAUUUUUGCAGAAAAGUCUGGCUUUGUGGCAAAAGCACUAUGUGAAAAACAGCCUCAUGGAAUAUUUCUUCUCUUUGGAUGAAAGGACUGCUUCUGGGAGCCUGUACAUUUCCAUACAAACAUUUUUUCUGGACGUGGCUGCUUUUGAGCAACACUGCUGAAGGCAGUUCAGUGCCAUAAAAUGAUUUUGUUUUGUUGUGAUGCUGUUAUUUAUGUCAACACUGACCACACCAGUGACCCAUCAAAUAACCUGAACUAACAGAUACACUGCGCUUAUUGUAGCAGUGAAUGCUGAAAGGGACUAAUUUUGUGAAUCAAGCUUUUAUAGCUAAUGUUUGAUAAAAUGUGAGGAUGACAGUAUUAACUACUGGGAUGCACUUUAGUAGCAAUGAGCAUUAACCAGAAACGGUGCUUGUUCUGAAAGAGGUGAGAAAGAGAAUGUUAUGGAUCAAAAUAGAAAAAAAACAACGGACAGAUCCGUCCUAACCCUGUCACUGAACCAUAAACCACAAGUAAUUACUUUAAUUAAUACUAAGACAUACUAACCACUAUGCUUUCAGUAAUGAACCACUACAUGUUUAUUUUUUUGCCAGAUACAAUUAAAAAAGUUCCCAACCCAGAUUUAAAGAAACAUAACGGUAAAUUAUGAAUGAAUUGAGUACAUCAGAAGUUCAGACCCAUUCUGCGUGUCUGACUCAGUUUCGUGUUUGUUAACUCAAGGCUUGAUUGUUAGAUGUUUGUACAGACACAGCAUUAAGACUCCCCUCCCCGACCUCACUGAAGCUCCAGAAAUGUCUGCUUGCCGGAUCGACAUGACAUCAUAGCAGCAGAGGUCUGAAAAGGGCAGUUUGGUGCAGGUUCAUGCUUCACCUCAUGUGCCAUUUAAAGUGAAAGGUCAGCAAGCCUGCUUCAGCUCAUCUCUGAGAGGAGUGACACAGUAGUUUCUUCAAAUCUGCAGAUCUGAGUGCCUAGGCUGUGAACGCAAGCACAAAAAGUCACAAAAUAACUGGAUGAAGAUUUUGCAAGUUUUUGUUUCCUCUUUCUGCUAAAGGCAUUCCCUACAGGCAGACUUUGCACCUGUACAGUGGGUGUCAAGCUGUGGUUUAGUAUUUAUUUCAGAGUAAUUUACAAUAUUGUUUUUUAAUAUUUAUUUUAUUUUGUAGUUUUUCUUUAAUAUUGCAUGUGCAAGAAAUACUUUUUUCUUUAGUUUUUUUUCACUUACACAAAAUGUUGCUUUUGUUUCCAGUGCUGAAAACAUAAAUGUACACAAUAUGGGGCAAUUAAAGCAUCUUAAAUCCACA